UUUCGCGCCGAAGGCUCGCGCACGAAUACCACCUGGCUGGGAGAAGAAGCCGCACGUAAUACCCGCAUCCUGGAACGACAGCCACGCGUAGUCAGCCAUGAACAACAGAUGCGCUUUAGUCAGUAAGAUCAUUGCGUUUUCCUGCGUCGAUGGGCCAGGCAGCCGCCUGGCAUUAUUCUUACAGGGCUGCAAUUUGCGCUGCAAGAAUUGCCAUAACCCGUGGACGAUGGGACGCUGUAACGACUGCGGGGAAUGCGUAUCGCAGUGUCCGCACCACGCCCUCAGCAUUGAUGGCGGGAAAGUGGUAUGGCGGUCGGACGUCUGCGAGCAGUGCGAUACCUGCCUGAAAAUGUGCCCACAGCAGGCAACGCCAAUGGCGCAGACCAUGAGCGUUGACGAUGUGCUGCGUCAUAUUCGUAAAGCAUCGCUGUUUAUUGAAGGUAUUACCGUCAGCGGCGGAGAGGCGACCACGCAAUUACCGUUUAUUGUGGCGCUAUUUACGGCGAUCAAAGCCGAUCCGCAGUUACAACGGCUGACCUGUCUGGUGGACAGUAAUGGUCAGUUAAGCGAGACCGGCUGGCAAAAACUACUGCCGGUUUGCGACGGCGUAAUGCUCGAUCUGAAAGCCUGGAAGAGCGAGUGUCAUCACCGUCUGACCGGACGUGAUAACACGCAUAUUAAGCACAGUAUCCGCUUUCUUGCUGCGCGGGGAAAACUGGCGGAGCUGCGGUUGCUGGUUAUCCCGGGUCAGGUGGACUAUGCGGCGCAUAUCGAUUCACUGGCGGCGUUUAUUACUUCGCUGGGCGAGGUUCCGGUGCGUUUGAAUGCCUUUCAUGCGCACGGUGUCUAUGGCGAAGCGAAAGCCUGGCCAGGCGCGACGCCGCAAGAGGUGGAACGGCUGGCUGACGGAUUGCGCGCGCGUGGGGUGGCGAAGCUGAUUUUGCCGGCGCUAUAUUUGUAAGCGUCGCCUGCCGGACGGCGGCUGCGAUGCCAUCAGAGCCGAAACAAGGUAAUGGUAUUGCGAUACAGCGUAUCGGCUAUCACCUCUGCGGGCUCCGGACGUAAUUCGCAGAGCGCAUCAAAUACGCGCGCCGCCUGCUCCGGGCGGUUCGGCUGCCCCUGAAACCCCUUUAGCGGCAUAUCCGGCGCAUCGGUCUCCAGCAACAGCGCGUCCAGCGGCAAGCGCGCCAUAACAUCACGGGUUUUACUGGCGCGCGGGUAGGUGAUGGUGCCGCCGACGCCGAUUUUAUAGCCCAGUCGCACAAAGCGUUCGGCCUGCUGCAGACUGCCGGCAAAACCAUGCACCACACCGGUUCGCGGCAGAUCCUGGCGCUUUAAGUGCAUCGCCAGUUUGUCAUGCGUGCGCCGCGAGUGCAGGAUCACCGGCAGAUCGUAGCGUUUUGCCAGUUGCAGUUGCGCGUCUAAAAAUCGCUCUUGCCUGGCGAACUGCGGGUCGUCGCGAUAAAGAUCGAGCCCGAUCUCGCCUACCGCCACGACGUUCUGUUGCUGCGCCAGCGCUUGUUGCAGCUUAUCAGAAUCGUCAUCGGCAUGACGCUCAAUCACAAUGGGGUGCAAUCCCAGCGCAGCAUAAAGCGACGGGAAACGCGCCGCCAGCGCCAGCACGCGGGGAAAGUGCGCCGCCUCGGUCGCCGGCACGAUGAUUUUUUCAACGCCCGCCUCACAGGCACGCUGAAUACUGGCGCGCUCAUCGCCCGUAAAGGGCGGGAAAUCAAAAUGGCAGUGUGUAUCGAUAAAGCGCCAGCUCACGCCAGAUCCUCGUCGGUAAAUGUGGUGUCGUUUGCCUGCGGCGCGCUAAUGACCUCCGCCACAUGCGUAUCAUUGGCCACCGGCGCCGGAGGCACGACCACCGUUUCCGGCACGGCAAUCCGCGACGUAUGGCGCAAGAGAGGCGGCGUUGCGGCGAGCAAUUUACCAACGGUGGCAAGGAAAUAACGCCCGCAUAAUCGCCCGGUUUUGUAAUCCUCACGCAGCGCCGGGAUACGGCUGCCCAGCGCCAUGCUGUGCAGCGGUUUCGGCGGAUAAAUUUCAAUGAUCCGCAGCUUACCCGGCGGCUUUUCAAUAAAUUGUUGGAUCGCGCUGUAGGACGUUUCAUGAUGCUGCACCAGGUUGACCAACGGCUGUAGACUGCUCUCUCCCAGCCAGCGCUCCAUACGCUUAAACCACUGCGGCGUGUAAUACAUUUGCGAGGGUACGGUGCGGAUCACCACAAUGGUUUUCGCCCCCCGCUUUGCCGCCUCCUGAACCGGAAUGGCGUCGCUAAUGCCACCGUCCAGAUAGUUGAUGCCCUCUAACGUAACGCCGGUACGGUAGAAACCCGGUAUGGCGCUGGAGGCGCGAAUGAUAUCAAGCCAGUUUUGUUUUGUCGGCGAGAAAUAGCCCGGCGUGUAAUCAUCCCCCCGGCAGGCGCACAUAUAAAAGGAUUUUCCGCUGUCGAACAGGCGCGCUGCGGUAUCCAUCUGCAGCGGCAUCCGGGCGGCGGUGGAUUCCACCAGCCAGUCGAGGUCAAUAAGGUUUCCUCCGCGUACAAAUCGCAGCGGAUCAAAAAAUUCGCGCCUGGUGGUAUAGCGCAUAAUGACUUUGCGCCCGUAGCCGGGCUGGUUGCAGAGAUACGCCGAGAGAUUUUGCGCACCGGCUGAUGUGCCGAAGUAGAGAUGGAAAGGAUUAAACUGCGCAUGCAUAAACUCAUCCAGCACGCCUGCGGUAAAGAUGCCCCGCUGCCCCCCGCCCUCACAGACCAGCGCCAUACGGCCUGGCCGGAACGGUGUUAAUGAUAACGGCGCAAUAUUGCCGAGCGUAACCGGUAUUCGCUGGCCCACCUCUGCCUUCCUGUUUUUCAUUUUUUUCCAGGCUGACAAGGUAACGCAAAACGUUAACGGCUAAAACCGUAAAAGCCAGUCCGCUGGACUGGCUUGAUAGCAAUAUAUCUUUACAGAUGCCUGCUAGGGUCGUUUACGGCCCAUGAACAGGCUGACCAGGAAGAGCACGAUCCCGACGACGAAGACGAUUUUCGCCGCGCCGGCAGCCGUACCAGCCAGUCCACCAAAACCCAAUGCGGCGGCAAUUAACGCGAUAACCAGAAAUAUAAUGCCCCAACGAAACAUAAGCCUCUCCUUUACCAUAGUUAAUGUCGACCGCUAAAUAUGAGCGCUCAGGCUACUCAUUCGCGAUAUUUUUAGUGUGGUGCACAUUACGCCUCCCGACAAACGUCGGGAGGACGAAUUACGACGAAUUACUGAACUUUCAGAUCGUUUUUAACACUUUUUACGCCAUCAACGGCUUUCGCGAUGCUUUCAGCGCGGUCGCUUUGUUCCUGAGUUUCAACGGUACCGGAGAGCUGUACGACGCCAUCGGUCGUUUCCACUUUCACUUUACGGGAAGGGACGAGAUCGUCCGCCAGCAACUUGGCUUUGACUUCACUGGUCGUGGCCGUAUCGCCGGCAUAACCUUUCACGGAACCUUCUUUAUUGUCGCGAACGUGAAGUUUGUCGCUAACGGAGGUCACGCCUUCUACGCCUUUCGCCACUUUCACGGCGGCUUCAGCCUGCGCCUGGCUUUCUACAAAGCCGCUCAGGGUGACAACUUUCUGAUUGGUUUCGACAGAAAUAUCGGUGCUUUUAAUAUUGUCAUGGUCUACCAGCGCAGCUUUUACUUUCGCAGUGAUGGCGCUGUCAUCCAUGAAGUUACCGACUUUAUUCAUAGAGCUAUCGACUUUUUGCCCUGCGGUUUCGGUUCCGCUUUGCGCCUUGUCCGUUGUUGCGUUUUCUGCAAAGGCAGAACCUGUCGCAACAGCAGAGGUCAACAUUACGGCCAGCAGAGUUUUAGAAAUCUUCAGUCUUGUCAUAGUCAUCGAUUUUGUCCUGUAUAGUUUGCUCGUAAUUUGAGCUCAGGCAACACGAGGUUGCAUUGCUGAAUGCGGUGAAACUCACCGGUUUCUGAAGUCAAUGACUGGCAUCACAUUCGUGAAUUUGUAACGACGCGUCGCCUGCCACCCUUCCGUUUCAGUUAUUAAUAUCGUGACUGAAACAAAUCUCAGCUUUAAGCUCUCAUAUUCACGCAUUGAACAGGCAUUAAAGCCGACAUUUAUGUCAUCACUUUGUUAAAUAUAGAUCACAAUUUUAAAAUCGCUUGUCGGUGCGUAUAAAAAACAGGCAGAUCGGAGAAAAAACGCGGGAUUUAAGAACAUUCCGUAAGCGGUUAAAAAGGCAGGGAAAGUACGAAGGCGCGGCGGAUGCCGCGCCCGGAAAGGGAUCAGUGUUCGCGCGUUUUACGGAACUGAACGUCAGGGUAACGUUCCUGGGUCAGGUUCAGGUUAACCAUCGUGGGGGCGAUAUAGGUAAGGUUGUCGCCGCCAUCCAGCGCCAGCUGCGUUUCAUUCUUACGCUUAAACUCUUCGAAUUUCUUCGCAUCGGCGCUUNNAAGCGAAGCUCCUGAUCGAAGCCCCGGUAAACGGCGGCCGUAACUAUAACGGUCCUAAGGUAGCGAAAUUCCUUGUCGGGUAAGUUCCGACCUGCACGAAUGGCGUAAUGAUGGCCAGGCUGUCUCCACCCGAGACUCAGUGAAAUUGAACUCGCUGUGAAGAUGCAGUGUACCCGCGGCAAGACGGAAAGACCCCGUGAACCUUUACUAUAGCUUGACACUGAACAUUGAGCCUUGAUGUGUAGGAUAGGUGGGAGGCUUUGAAGUGUGGACGCCAGUCUGCAUGGAGCCGACCUUGAAAUACCACCCUUUAAUGUUUGAUGUUCUAACGUGGACCCGUAAUCCGGGUUGCGGACAGUGUCUGGUGGGUAGUUUGACUGGGGCGGUCUCCUCCUAAAGAGUAACGGAGGAGCACGAAGGUUGGCUAAUCCUGGUCGGACAUCAGGAGGUUAGUGCAAUGGCAUAAGCCAGCUUGACUGCGAGCGUGACGGCGCGAGCAGGUGCGAAAGCAGGUCAUAGUGAUCCGGUGGUUCUGAAUGGAAGGGCCAUCGCUCAACGGAUAAAAGGUACUCCGGGGAUAACAGGCUGAUACCGCCCAAGAGUUCAUAUCGACGGCGGUGUUUGGCACCUCGAUGUCGGCUCAUCACAUCCUGGGGCUGAAGUAGGUCCCAAGGGUAUGGCUGUUCGCCAUUUAAAGUGGUACGCGAGCUGGGUUUAGAACGUCGUGAGACAGUUCGGUCCCUAUCUGCCGUGGGCGCUGGAGAACUGAGGGGGGCUGCUCCUAGUACGAGAGGACCGGAGUGGACGCAUCACUGGUGUUCGGGUUGUCAUGCCAAUGGCACUGCCCGGUAGCUAAAUGCGGAAGAGAUAAGUGCUGAAAGCAUCUAAGCACGAAACUUGCCCCGAGAUGAGUUCUCCCUGAGACUUAGAGUCUCCUGAAGGAACGUUGAAGACGACGACGUUGAUAGGCCGGGUGUGUAAGCGCAGCGAUGCGUUGAGCUAACCGGUACUAAUGAACCGUGAGGCUUAACCUU
rnacentral:rRNA from 1 species